rnacentral:rRNA from 1 species
UGGGGAAUAUUGCACAAUGGAGGGAACUCUGAUGCAGCAACGCCGCGUGCGGGAUGACGGCCUUCGGGUUGUAAACCGCUUUCAGCCAUGACGAAGCUUUUGUGACGGUAGUGGUAGAAGAAGCACCGGCUAACUACGUGCCAGCAGCCGCGGUGAUACGUAGGGUGCGAGCGUUGUCCGGAAUUAUUGGGCGUAAAGAGCUUGUAGGCGGUUUGUCGCGUCGAUAGUGUAAACACGCAGCUUAACUGUGUGCCUGCUGUCGAUACGGGCUGACUAGAGGAGGGUAGGGGAGAAUGGAAGUCCCGGUGGAGCGGUGGAAUGCGCAGAUAUCGGGCGGAACACCAGUGGCGAAGGCGGUUCUCUAGAAAUUUCCUGACGCUGAGAAGCGAAAGCGUGGGUAGCAAACAGG